GAAACCCAACUGCAUAAGCAGUUACUGUUAACUGAAUACAUAGGUUAACAGAGCAAACCGGGGGAACUGAAACAUCUAAGUACCCCGAGGAGAAGAAAUCAACCGAGAUUCCGGUAGUAGCGGCGAGCGAACCUGGAUUAGCCCUUAAGCACUCGGUGAAGUAGGUGAACAAGCUGGAAAGCUUGGCGAUACAGGGUGAUAGCCCCGUAACCGACGCUUCAUCGAGCGUGAAAUCGAGUAGGGCGGGACACGUGAUAUCCUGUCUGAAUAUGGGGGGACCAUCCUCCAAGGCUAAAUACUCCUGACUGACCGAUAGUGAACCAGUACCGUGAGGGAAAGGCGAAAAGAACCCCUGUGAGGGGAGUGAAAUAGAACCUGAAACCGUGUACGUACAAGCAGUAGGAGCACCUUCGUGGUGUGACUGCGUACCUUUUGUAUAAUGGGUCAGCGACUUAUAUUCAGUGGCAAGGUUAACCGUAUAGGGGAGCCGUAGCGAA
rnacentral:rRNA from 1 species